rnacentral:rRNA from 1 species
UACAGAGGGUGCGAGCGUUAAUCGGAAUUACUGGGCGUAAAGCGUGCGCAGGCGGUGAUGUAAGACAGGUGUGAAAUCCCCGGGCUUAACCUGGGAACUGCAUUUGUGACUGCAUCGCUGGAGUGCGGCAGAGGGGGAUGGAAUUCCGCGUGUAGCAGUGAAAUGCGUAGAUAUGCGGAGGAACACCGAUGGCGAAGGCAGUCCCCUGGGCCUGCACUGACGCUCAUGCACGAAAGCGUGGGGAGCAAACAGG